rnacentral:lncRNA from 1 species
CGGCACAGCAAGAGCCUAUCUCUAAUAAGAGAACAUAAGAAUUCCUUUUGUUUUUUGCCUACUCUUCUCCUACCACCUCUUUUCUACUACAAUGUUAUGAUAAGAGCAGCUGCCUUGGCAGUUUCUAAUUGCAGGUGGAUUAUCAGCUCCUGGAAGUGAAAGAAUUUCACCUUACACUCUUCAUUAUGGUUUCACCUGUUAUAUGGGCUCAACUUUAGAAGGAUCUCAACAUGCACUGCCUGGCUUCUCCUACUUGGAAUUACCAACACUGUUUUUUUCCUUUUCAAUACCUAUUAAUGCACAAAAAACUGAGACAACAUACAUUAAAAAUAAAAUACAUAUCUACAAUAUUUACAUAUAUGGAUUUGCUGGGAAAAAUAUUUUUAUAAUCACAAAUUAGUGUCUGAUCAUAUGAUUAACAUCACUAAAACUAGAUUUGGUGCUUAUUGACUAUUCUUUGGCGAUUUCCUCAAAAUAUCACCUCUAAUCUGAUGAUUGACACAUAUUUAUUUUUAGAUGACAAUUCUAACCUUCAGUUUCCAACUGUGUACUGGAUAUAUUGGUGCUGCCAUCUUGUCUUCUAGUUAUCUCUAUUUUAGCACUAUCCAAAGCAUAUUUUCCUCUACUAUUCCUAUACACAUUCCUACACAUAUUUUCCUCUACUAUUCCUAUACAUAUUUCCCUCUACUAUUUUCUACAAACUACUGAAUGGCUUAUUUAUCUCUAUCUUCAUGGUACUUGAGUUCUUGAGGCAUAUAUUUGAUGCUGUAUUAAUUAAAUCUAAUAAAUUACCAUGUUAAGAAAAAACAAACUUCAGGGAAAGAUACUAGAACAUGUUUUCUUUGUGCUUUGAUUAUAAUAUUUGCUUUAUGUACAUAUCUGUAAACUCACAUCUUAAUGCCUUAUACUUCUACAUUAGCAUGGCUCAUUUUCCCUUGGUCUAAAUGAGAAGGAAGGAAACAAAUUCAUUGCCUCCAUCUGUAAAACAUCCCUCCAGAACAUCAAGAUAUGUUAAGCACCCUUUCCUCUUCAUUUCUCCUUGGCUUCUCUAGUUUUCCUUUAUGAUCUACUUCCCAACUCUUAAAUCAAUUCCAUUGCCUUCUCUUGGGCAUUUUCCAGGUUAUUCAGAUGUCUAUAUCUACAAUAAGCUACAGGGUCCACCAAGUGUAACAAAUCCCCCAAGUGCUUUUGAAAUAAUCCAGUAGGUUAAAACAGACGAAGAGUAAGAAGACUUAAAGUUGAGGUUAAGUUUAAGAAGAUUUACAAAGCUUUACCCACAUAUCCUGGUCUCUGAUAAAUACAUGAUUAGCUAAAGAUUCCAAGAAACUCACCCAGAGCUCAUUUCCUGCCUGCCUACCAUGGAAGCCAUGUCACUGAGUGCUAAUGAAUUUCCCAGUGGCUCCUGUAACUAGUCAAGGUCCUCAAGUAAAAAUAGGCUUGGCCCUGAAAUUACGGCAUUCAAACCCUGCUCAACAUCAUUUAAAUAUUCCGUGAUAUCCGUAGAUGAAGCCACUGAACAGUAGUGUUAGUAUAAAUAAAUUAAUAUCACAGGAAAAAUGAGGGUAUCUGUUUGAUGAUCCAGUGAAAAAAUGAUGAGAGAAGUUGAUAAGAAAAGCACUUUUCUUGGCCUGUGGUCAAAAACUAAAGCUUUAAACAAUUGUAGGAAACUUUCUUCAGUCGUGUUCUGGGAAGUAAAUUCAGCUAAAUAUAAAUCAAAAGAGUUAUCUUUAUUGUAAUUCAAAGAUGCUACAGUAUUGGAGGCAUGGGAGAUUGCCAGAUGAAGAAACAAGCAUUUUCCUCCUAAUAAAGAAAUCUCUGUAAAUCAUGGGUUUGCACUUCUACUUUUAUACUUCUUUGAUACUGUGCUGUGACCUAUGGAGAGGCGUCAAGGAGCUGUAGCUAAGUGGAUUGCUAAGAACGCCGCGAUGGUGUCAGGUGGAACUGAGGUUAAGCUCCAGCAUCACUGUUACCUGUGUACUGCUGAGUUAAUCAUUCUCUCUAUGACUCCGUUUCUUCAUGUUUAAGAGGAGUAUAGUAAUAGUGGUGAUCUCAGAAGAUUAAGUGGUAAGCACAGUAUUUGGCCCAAAGGAAACAUGCUGUAAAUGUUAUCUUAGUCAUUAACUUUAUGAUUAGAUUUUUUUUCAAAAUCAUUCCCAUGAUACCUGUGGCCUCUGGUUGGUUCUAGUUUAUUUUAUUAGCUCAUUGCUAGUUAUCUCCUCCUAAGCCUUUGGUUGAGCUGGUCUGGGUAUUUCUAGACAUUUCCCUGGUCAUAAUGGGCUUUCCCUUAUGUAUUUGCAUAUAUGCGUUUUCCACAAAUUUGGUCUGAUCAACUCCCACUUUUUAUUUCAGAUGGAGUUCUAACUUUCUUUUCUUGCUUCCUCAAACAUUACUGGAUAGAUAUAAGUUCUCUCUAUUUUCUGUUCUCCUAGGCCUCUAUUUUUAUUAUUUUUACAAUUAUAUCUGUUAUAUUCUUUGCAUGUUUUUCCUCUAGCUAAGGUGUAAAUUCUUCAAACACAGCUACUAUAUACUCAUCAUUGGGCAUCCCAGAACCUAACACUAUCAGGAACACUGAAAGCUAGAAAGUGCCUAGUAAAUGUCUGAUGCAGAAAUAAAUUGCGUAUAAUAUAAUAUGGCAAUGCUAAAAUAGAAUAUAAUGAAAAGGAAUUUAGAAAUAAUAAGGUGAUAAUUUAGAAUCAUAGAAAACAAAUUAGGAAAAAACAAUGAUGUAAGGGUAAGUUUCUUUAAUGCUGACAAAGAUAUUUAAAAAUAUAUUUAAAAGAGCAUUCAUGUGCCAAAAAUAUUUAAAAUAUUUUAGCUGAAUUUGAUACUAAACAUUUAUAUUGUAAUCCAAAGUAUAUGCAAAUAUAAAAAUACGGAACAGAAGUGUACCAAUAUAAUACAGAUUGUCACAGAUCAUAGAAUUAGAAGUGAGUUAUACUUGUGGUUUUUGUAGUUUCAAAAAUCUGUAAAAAAAUAAUUUAUUAUUUUUGUGAGUAGAGAACACUUAUAAACUUUUUUAUACUUAGACAAUGCUAUACAAUUUGAAAUGCAUUGGUAUCAUUGCGUGAUUUAAAUCUUUUCAGGAAAUUUUUUCAAACCUAAAACAAUAUACAUCCAUCCCCUUCAUAUUGUCUAUACACUCUCCUGAGUAUGAUAUCUUUUCUUACGUAAUCAUGCACGAGGCAAAUGCCAGAUGCUCAAGCUAUAAACCCACACAUCUGAUGGGCAAGAGGUCUGAGAAAACAGGCAGCACAAAGUAAUCUUGCCAGUAUACAAACAAUGUAAUGCAGAAAGCCUUAUCCUUUUUCUGGUCAUUAAAUGGAAUUUUAAUCUGCAAGGGAAAUUGCAAGUCAUAGUCCUUCAUGUGUAUAGAGAAAAUGACUUGAGAUCAGAAAGGGAGGAGUUAGGGAAUAAAGUCACACAAUUAGUUGGUGGCACAAUUAGGGCCAGCUUGACAAUCUGUGGCUCUUCCUACUUCUGAAACAUCAUGGAAUUACAGAAAGGGAUUUUAGAAAGACUUUCCUAUUACUGCUUCAUUAUACAGAAGGAUAACUGAGGACUUACAGCUAUCCAAUAUUUUCACCUAGAUCACAUUGCUUGCUGGAAUUUGUCUCAAAUUGGCAUUCAGGACUGCUAUAUCCCAGUCAGUGUGUUUUUCUUUUUUCCUGCAAAAGCAAGACAUUGGUCUUACUCUCACCUACACCACACUUAUCACAAAUAGCAUUGAAGAAAAUCUUGCCCCAAUACUUACAUAUUAUUCAAAUAUCGAAUUGAAGUCUACUUUUGUUCUAACCAUGGCAAAAGAAUAGCCAUAUAUCAAAUAUAACAGCAUAUCAUUUAUUAAUUGGGGUCAACAAUUUUUCCAGAAUUUAUCUAAGAUUCUUAUCCUUUUUAUUUAUUUUUCUAUGAAACAAUGAUCUAUGACAAAUUCAUUGAAAUAUUUCAAAACUCUAAUUCAUAUAUAGCAUUGAAUAUAUGUAUGUGUGUGUGUCUGUGUGUAUACUACACAAAAUGUUUUCCUAAGCUCUUUAGAGCUACAAAAGUUAUAGUAUUUUAUGCCUGUUUUAGAUCUGGAUAGAUAGGCUAUACAUAGCUAAGGAUACAUAGGCUAAGGAAGCCAUUUGGCUCAUUCUUCACAUUAAUAAGAAAAGGCAAUGUGCCACUUGUCUGUGCCAAGCUCUGACAAGUGGAUGUGCCUGGGUUUCCAUAAAUACAAAGCAAGAUAGACCUCUUGGUGUAAUGGAAAGUACGUGCUAUAAGAAAUAGAGAACUUGGGUUCUAGUUAUGUUCCUGUUUCAUGUGUUCAAUAAAGGAUUUCAUGGGAAGUUAUUUUUUAACUCCUAAUAAUAUACCCAAAACUCCCACGGGGCUUUUUCAUUCUUUCUUCUUCUUUUUUUUUUUUUUUUUUUUCGAGACGAAGUCUGGCUCUGUCGCCCAGGCUGGAGUGCAGUGGUGCGAUCUUGGCUCACUGCAAGCUCCGCCUCCCGGGUUCACGCCGUUCUCCUGUCUCAGCCUCCCGAGUAGCUGGGACUACAGGUGCCCGCCACCAUGCCCGGCUAAUUUUUUUUGGAUUUUUAGUAGAGACGGGGUUUCACCGUGUUAGCCAGGAUGGUCUUGAUCUCCUGACCUCGUGAUCCACCCGCCUAGGCCUCCCAAAGUGCUGGGAUUACAGGCGUGAGCCACCACGCCUGGCCGGGGCUCUUUCUAAUAGCUGGAUGCUUAUCAAAAGCCUUCGAAUGUUAAAAAAGUGAUGCAAAGACAGCAAGUAAGGUUGGAGGCCAAACUCAUCAAGGACACAGUAUAAAUAGAAAAUAAAUCUAUAGUGAGACUUUAGGCACAGUUUUUGCCUAAUAUCUGAAAACCCCUGAUCUUUGCCAUAUUCUAACACCCCAUUUGUAUUGACAGCCUUGAAGAUCCAUACUGGGAAACUUCCCUUUUUUAUCAGAGACAGACUGGUUAGGAUAGAUGAUUAAUACAGUAUAUGACUGAGUGUCUGUAAUUGAAGAGACAUUUUUGAAUAAUCAAUGAGCUUCACAAAAAAAGAGUAUUAGACAAAUUAUAUGCAUAUUAAUGCAAUAUCAAAAUCCUUUUUUGUUGGAUGUUAGAGGUGUUUUGUUGAAAAACAAAGAUGAGGAAAACAUUUGAUUUGCUUUCAAAACCUACUCCUGUGUAUAUUCCAUCAAUUAUUUCUGCCAUUAUCCAUUUGAAAAAUCUUUGCUCUUAGGAAUGUGUUAAUUUCAGAUGCCAUUGACCUGUUUAACAGGUCAAUCACUUUCCACUGCAAUCUCAACAAACCCUCUCUAUGGCCUAUGAGGCCCGUUGACAUCUGGUCUUUGAUCUACAGCUCCAAUUUUGUCAUUCUCCACUUUGUUGCUCACUAUAAGCGGAGCCCACAGGUCUCUUUUCGUCCCUCAAACAACUUAAAUGCCUUUCCACACUAGAGGCGGUGUGCUAGCACCCUCUGCCCAGAAUGUUGUUCUGCCAGGAUUUUGCCCGGCUGAUUCCUUCUAGUUAUUCAGGUUUCUGUACAAAUGUGACAUCCUCAGAGAAUCUUCCACUGUUUAUCCCAUCUAAAUUAUCAUUCCUUUCCCAUCCCCUCUUGAUUCUCUAUCACAUUGUCCUUUUUUCCCUUUGCAAUUCUUACCACCAAAUUAGCAUUACCUGAAUUAUGUGUGUAUUCACUUACUUUCAUGUCUGCUAUCCCCCACUCAGCACGCCAUAAGCUCCCUAAAGCCAAGGCUGUAUCUUUCUUGACAUUCUUGACAUCUCUGUAUUUGUAGCACUUACAACAGCACCUUUGUAGGAGUUCAAUAAUUAAUGUCAGAUAAACAAAGGAGUUAAUAAACACAUGAACGAGGCCAGGGGCAGUGGCUCACGCCUGUAAACCCAGCACUUUGGGAGGCCAAGGUGGGUGGAUUAUCUGAGGUCAGGAGUUCAAGACCAGCCUGACUAACAUGAGGAAACCCCAUCUCUACUAAAACUACAAAAAUUAGCUGGGGCGUGGUGGCGCACGCCUGUAAUCCCAGUUAGUUGGAAGGCUGAGACAGAAGAAUCACUUGAACCCAGGAGGUGGAGAUUGCAGUGAGCCGAGAUUGCCCCACUGCAUUCCAGCCUGGGCCACAGAAUGAGACACAGUCUAAAAUUUAAAAAAUACAUGAAUGAAUGAAUAAAUGGAUGAUUUAAUGCCAUUGAUAUAGAUCUGUUAACUAGAAAUGCAAAAUGGGAUAAAUUAAUUAUGUUACUUCAAUCUUUUUCAAAUGUAUGAAAAUAAUUAUAAUUAAAACCAGUAGUUUCAGCGAAAAGGAACUAAUGCAUGUGACAUUGUCCAUGAUAUCGGUGGUUUGCAUGUCAUUGGGCCCUUGAUACAUUUACAAAAAACAAAUAACUAGAAGUGGCAAAUGACAGAAGGUGUGGAAAGGCGAGGGAAGAAAGAGAAACACCAAGUUCUCCUACACCCUCUUCUAAGACUCUUCUAGUUUCUUUCCUCUUUCAAUGAACUUUCUCUCGAAUUUAUGCUCACAAUGUCAGAUUUUGUUUGUUUUAUGUUUCUCACUGAAGUCUAACAUCCCUUUUCUUUUCUGAAAUACGCCAAGCAACUAAUUUUGAAUUACUUUUUCCACUCUGUAGCUGGCUGUUAUGCAUCAUGUAAGGAAGCUUAAUUAAACAGUACAAUGUAAGAACUACUCACAGAUUUAGGAAAAAACCUACUUUCUUCGUUAAAAAAAUAAAUAAGGACAAUUUUGUUAUUCUUUGCAUUCACACACAUCUUAUAUACCCCAAUGCACAACAAAGCUGAAUUUUCAAGUUUGUGACACUUCAGGUCUCUGGAUUUUAUUAAUAAUAAUUGUCAGUCCAUUAAAAUGGAUUAUGAUGACUCCCAAGGAAUUGGUUGUUAACAUAAUUAACAGCUGGCUUUAGUUUCAAGGCAUUAAUCAAAAGAGCAAGUUUCUGGAAAUGACCAGGUUCUCAAAAACGUUGCUAAUUAGCAAAGGCAUUGAAGUUGUAUGACACUGAUUCCUGCCACUGUUAUCUGCAUGAUUGUAUCACAACUUUAAAUACCCACAAUGUGAUGUGUUUUCUCAAGUAUUAUUAAACCAAUAGGCAUUUCAAAUUUCAAUACAUUUACUUUAAAGGAAACAAAAUCUACAUUUUUACUCUUUACUUUUGGACAGAAUCGAGUGUAAAAUACUUGUGAAAUGACGGCAAUACAUAAUACAUAAUAUUUUCCUUUCACAAAUGGUGAAUAAAUGGAGCAUAUGCUAAUUUUUCUUUUAUUAAUCCAAUGUAGGCUAACUAGCUCUGCCAUAAAAAUAAUAUUACUCUGAGAAGCAGGAUAAACGCUACUAUUAUCUACUCAUAGGAUAUCUUAUUAUAUUUUUAGACAAUGAAUGCUAUACAUUAAAGAAAUUAAGGGAAAAAUACAAAAAAGGGAAUUAAUAUCCCAAUUACCUUGAUUUGAUCGUUACACAUGUAUGUUUUUAUCAGUAUUUUCCAUGUUCCCAUAAAUAUGUGCAAUUAUUAUGUAACAUUAAAAAAAGAAAUUUUAAAAUAAUCGCCCCAUUCCCAUCAAGAAAGACCAACCUCUCAACAUUUUGAAGUAUUUGCUUCUAUUAUAAUUAUUAUUUUUUAUUUUUUAUUUUUUCAGAGAUGGAGUUUCACUCUUGUUGCCCAGGCUAGAUUGCAAUGCACGAUCUCAGUUCACAGCAACCUCAACCUCCUGAGUUCAAGUGAUUCUCCUGCCUCAGCCUACUGAGUAGCUGGGAUUACAGGCAUGUGCCACCACGCCCGGCUAAUUUUGUAUUUUUAGUAGAGACAGGGUUUCUCCAUGUUGCUCAGGCUGCUCUUGAACUCCUAACCUUAGGUGAUCUGCCCAGCUCGGCCUCCAAAGUGCUGUGAUUACAGGCAUGAGCCACCACACCUCGCCGAUUUGCUUCUAUUAUCUUUAUGGGCCUAACCUCUUUUGUUUAUGUUGCUAUAAUUAUACUAUGCUGGGAGGGAUGGCUCAUGCCUGUAAUCCAAGCACUUUGGGAGGCUGAGGCGGGCAGAUCACAAGGUCAGGAGUUUGAGACCAGCCUGGCCAAUAUGGUGAAACCUCG